UACCAGACUCCUACGGGAGGCAGCAGUGGGGAAUAUUGCACAAUGGGGGGAACCCUGAUGCAGCGACGCCGCGUGGGUGAAGGAGCACCUCGGUGCGUAAAGCCCUAUCGGCAGGGAAGAAACAGACGGUACCUGACUAAGAAGCCCCGGCUAACUACGUGCCAGCAGCCGCGGUAAUACGUAGGGGGCAAGCGUUAUCCGGAUUCACUGGGUGUAAAGGGAGCGUAGGCGGCCACGCAAGUCAGAAGUGAAAACCCGGGGCUCAACCCUGGGAGUGCUUUUGAAACUGUGCGGCUAGAGUGUCGGAGGGGUAAGUGGAAUUCCUAGUGUAGCGGUGAAAUGCGUAGAUAUUAGGAGGAACACCAGUGGCGAAGGCGGCUUACUGGACGAUGACUGACGCUGAGGCUCGAAAGCGUGGGGAGCAAACAGGAUUAGAUACCCCAGUAACC
rnacentral:rRNA from 1 species